GUGAGUAAAGUGGCGUACGGGUGAGUAACACGUGGAUCAUCUACCCUUGAGUGGGGAAUAACGCUGGGAAACCGGCGCUAAUACCGCAUAAUCCCGAGAGGGCAAAGGAAGCAAUUCCGCUUAAGGAGGAGUCCGCGGCCGAUUAGCUUGUUGGCAGGGUAAAAGCCUACCAAGGCAAUGAUCGGUAGCCGGCCUGAGAGGGCACACGGCCACACUGGCACUGAAACACGGGCCAG
rnacentral:rRNA from 1 species